rnacentral:rRNA from 1 species
ACCCGCUGAACUUAAGCAUAUCAAUAAGCGGAGGAAAAGAAACCAACAGGGAUUGCCUUAGUAACUGCGAGUGAAGCGGCAAAAGCUCAAAUUUGAAAUCUGGCGUCUUCGGCGUCCGAGUUGUAAUUUGGAGGGAUAUCUUCGGGGUUGGCGCCGUCCUAAGUUCCUUGGAACAGGACGUCAUAGAGGGUGAGAAUCCCGUGCCUGGAUGGCUGCCCAACUCCAUGUGAAGUGUCUCCGACGAGUCGAGUUGUUUGGGAAUGCAGCUCAAAAUGGGUGGUAAAUUUCAUCUAAAGCUAAAUAUUGGCGAGAGACCGAUAGCGCACAAGUAGAGUGAUCGAAAGAUGAAAAGCACUUUGAAAAGAGAGUUAAAAAGUACGUGAAAUUGUUGAAAGGGAAGCGCUUGCGACCAGACUCGAUCUUUGGUGAUCAGCCGGGCUUCUGUCCGGUGCCCUUGCCAUUGAUUGGGCCAGCAUCGGUUCCGACGGCGGGAUAAAAGGAGGAGGAAUGUGGCUCCCUUCGGUGAGUGUUAUAGCCUCCUUCACAAUGCCGCCAGUUGGGACCGAGGACCGCGCUUCGGCUAGGAUGCUGGCAUAAUGGUCUUAAGCGACCCGUCUUGAAACACGG